rnacentral:rRNA from 1 species
AUUGUAACAAUACAAGGCGUACGGCUCAGUAACACGUAGUCAAUCUAACCUAUGGACGAGGAUAACCUCGGGAAACUGAGAAUAAUACUCGAUAGAUCAUUAUGCCUGGAACGGUUUAUGGUUAAAAUGAAUUUCGCCAUAGGAUGGGACUGCGGUCUAUCAGCUUGUUGGUGAGGUAAUGGCCCACCAAGGCUAUUACAGAUACGGGCUCUGAGAGGAGAGGCCCGGAGAUGGGUACUGAGACACGGACCCAGGCCCUAUGGGGCGCAGCAGGCGAGAAAACUUUGCAAUGUGCGCAAGCACGACAAGGUUAAUCCGAGUGUUUUCUGUUUAAGAAAUCUUUUGUUAGUCCUAGAAACACUAACGAAUAAGGGGUGGGCAAGUUCUGGUGUCAGCCGCCGCCGGUAAAACCAGCACCUCAAGUGGUCAGGAUGAUUAUUGGGCCUAAAGCAUCCGUAGCCUGCUUUGUAAGUUUGCGGUUAGAUCCAUAUGCUCAACAUAUGGGCUGCCGGGAAUACUGCAAAGCUAGGGAGUGGGAGAGGUAGACGGUACUCGGGAGGAAGGGGUAAAAUCCUUUGAUCUAUUGAUGACCACCUGUGGCGAAGGCGGUCUACCAGAACACGUCCGACGGUGAGGGAUGAAAGCUGGGGGAGCAAACCGGAUUAGAUACCCGGGUAGUCCCAGCUGUAAACUAUGCAAACUCGGUGAUGCGUUGGCUUGUAGCUAGCGCAGUGCCGCAGGGAAGCCGUUAAGUUUGCCGCCUGGGAAGUACGUACGCAAGUAUGAAACUCAAAUGAAUUGAC